GGGUUGUGAGGUUAAGCGACUAAGCGUACACGGUGGAUGCCCUGGCAGUCAGAGGCGAUGAAGGACGUGCUAAUCUGCGAUAAGCGUCGGUAAGGUGAUAUGAACCGUUAUAACCGGCGAUUUCCGAAUGGGGAAACCCAGUGUGAUUCGUCACACUAUCAUUAACUGAAUCCAUAGGUUAAUGAGGCGAACCGGGGGAACUGAAACAUCUAAGUACCCCGAGGAAAAGAAAUCAACCGAGAUUCCCCCAGUAGCGGCGAGCGAACGGGGAGCAGCCCAGAGCCUGAAUCAGUGUGUGUGUUAGUGGAAGCGUCUGGAAAGGCGCGCGAUACAGGGUGACAGCCCCGUACACAAAAAUGCACAUACUGUGAGCUCGAUGAGUAGGGCGGGACACGUGGUAUCCUGUCUGAAUAUGGGGGGACCAUCCUCCAAGGCUAAAUACUCCUGACUGACCGAUAGUGAACCAGUACCGUGAGGGAAAGGCGAAAAGAACCCCGGCGAGGGGAGUGAAAAAGAACCUGAAACCGUGUACGUACAAGCAGUGGGAGCACGCUUAGGCGUGUGACUGCGUACCUUUUGUAUAAUGGGUCAGCGACUUAUAUUCUGUAGCAAGGUUAACCGAAUAGGGGAGCCGAAGGGAAACCGAGUCUUAACUGGGCGUUAAGUUGCAGGGUAUAGACCCGAAACCCGGUGAUCUAGCCAUGGGCAGGUUGAAGGUUGGGUAACACUAACUGGAGGACCGAACCGACUAAUGUUGAAAAAUUAGCGGAUGACUUGUGGCUGGGGGUGAAAGGCCAAUCAAACCGGGAGAUAGCUGGUUCUCCCCGAAAGCUAUUUAGGUAGCGCCUCGUGAAUUCAUCUCCGGGGGUAGAGCACUGUUUCGGCAAGGGGGUCAUCCCGACUUACCAACCCGAUGCAAACUACGAAUACCGGAGAAUGUUAUCACGGGAGACACACGGCGGGUGCUAACGUCCGUCGUGAAGAGGGAAACAACCCAGACCGCCAGCUAAGGUCCCAAAGUCAUGGUUAAGUGGGAAACGAUGUGGGAAGGCCCAGACAGCCAGGAUGUUGGCUUAGAAGCAGCCAUCAUUUAAAGAAAGCGUAAUAGCUCACUGGUCGAGUCGGCCUGCGCGGAAGAUGUAACGGGGCUAAACCAUGCACCGAAGCUGCGGCAGCGACGCUGAUGCGUUGUUGGGUAGGGGAGCGUUCUGUAAGCCUGCGAAGGUGUGCUGUGAGGCAUGCUGGAGGUAUCAGAAGUGCGAAUGCUGACAUAAGUAACGAUAAAGCGGGUGAAAAGCCCGCUCGCCGGAAGACCAAGGGUUCCUGUCCAACGUUAAUCGGGGCAGGGUGAGUCGACCCCUAAGGCGAGGCCGAAAGGCGUAGUCGAUGGGAAACAGGUUAAUAUUCCUGUACUUGGUGUUACUGCGAAGGGGGGACGGAGAAGGCUAUGUUGGCCGGGCGACGGUUGUCCCGGUUUAAGCGUGUAGGCUGGUUUUCCAGGCAAAUCCGGAAAAUCAAGGCUGAGGCGUGAUGACGAGGCACUACGGUGCUGAAGCAACAAAUGCCCUGCUUCCAGGAAAAGCCUCUAAGCAUCAGGUAACAUCAAAUCGUACCCCAAACCGACACAGGUGGUCAGGUAGAGAAUACCAAGGCGCUUGAGAGAACUCGGGUGAAGGAACUAGGCAAAAUGGUGCCGUAACUUCGGGAGAAGGCACGCUGAUAUGUAGGUGAAGUCCCUCGCGGAUGGAGCUGAAAUCAGUCGAAGAUACCAGCUGGCUGCAACUGUUUAUUAAAAACACAGCACUGUGCAAACACGAAAGUGGACGUAUACGGUGUGACGCCUGCCCGGUGCCGGAAGGUUAAUUGAUGGGGUCAGCGCAAGCGAAGCUCUUGAUCGAAGCCCCGGUAAACGGCGGCCGUAACUAUAACGGUCCUAAGGUAGCGAAAUUCCUUGUCGGGUAAGUUCCGACCUGCACGAAUGGCGUAAUGAUGGCCAGGCUGUCUCCACCCGAGACUCAGUGAAAUUGAACUCGCUGUGAAGAUGCAGUGUACCCGCGGCAAGACGGAAAGACCCCGUGAACCUUUACUAUAGCUUGACACUGAACAUUGAGCCUUGAUGUGUAGGAUAGGUGGGAGGCUUUGAAGUGUGGACGCCAGUCUGCAUGGAGCCGACCUUGAAAUACCACCCUUUAAUGUUUGAUGUUCUAACGUGGACCCGUAAUCCGGGUUGCGGACAGUGUCUGGUGGGUAGUUUGACUGGGGCGGUCUCCUCCUAAAGAGUAACGGAGGAGCACGAAGGUUGGCUAAUCCUGGUCGGACAUCAGGAGGUUAGUGCAAUGGCAUAAGCCAGCUUGACUGCGAGCGUGACGGCGCGAGCAGGUGCGAAAGCAGGUCAUAGUGAUCCGGUGGUUCUGAAUGGAAGGGCCAUCGCUCAACGGAUAAAAGGUACUCCGGGGAUAACAGGCUGAUACCGCCCAAGAGUUCAUAUCGACGGCGGUGUUUGGCACCUCGAUGUCGGCUCAUCACAUCCUGGGGCUGAAGUAGGUCCCAAGGGUAUGGCUGUUCGCCAUUUAAAGUGGUACGCGAGCUGGGUUUAGAACGUCGUGAGACAGUUCGGUCCCUAUCUGCCGUGGGCGCUGGAGAAUUGAGGGGGGCUGCUCCUAGUACGAGAGGACCGGAGUGGACGCAUCACUGGUGUUCGGGUUGUCAUGCCAAUGGCACUGCCCGGUAGCUAAAUGCGGAAGAGAUAAGUGCUGAAAGCAUCUAAGCACGAAACUUGCCCCGAGAUGAGUUCUCCCUGACUCCUUGAGAGUCCUGAAGGAACGUUGAAGACGACGACGUUGAUAGGCCGGGUGUGUAAGCGCAGCGAUGCGUUGAGCUAACCGGUACUAAUGAACCGUGAGGCUUAACCUUACAACGCCGAAG
rnacentral:rRNA from 1 species